rnacentral:misc_RNA from 1 species
GAUGAAGAACGUAGUGAAAUGCGAUAAGUAAUGUGAAUUGCAGAAUUCAGUGAAUCAUCGAAUCUUUGAACGCACAUUGCGGCCCCUGGUAUUCCGGGGGGCAUGCCUGUUCGAGCGUCAUUUCACCACUCAAGCCUCGCUUGGUAUUGGGCAACGCGGUCCGCCGCGUGCCUCAAAUCGACCGGCUGGGUCUUCUGUCCCCUAAGCGUUGUGGAAACUAUUCGCUAAAGGGUGUUCGGGAGGCUACGCCGUAAAACAACCCCAUUUCUAAGGUUGACCUCGGAUCAGGUAGGGAUACCCGCUGAACUUAAGCAUAUCAAUAAGCGGAGGA